rnacentral:rRNA from 1 species
AGUGGAUGGGGAACAACCUAGUUGUGCGUGUGUAAAGGUAGUGCCAAGAAAAGCGGUGAUCAUGAUGAAAAUCAAUUCCCGGUACCCGAAACCGACACAGGUGGGCAAGUAGAGAAUUCUAAGGGGCGCGAGGUAACUCUCUCCAAGGAACUCGGCAAAAUGACCCCGUAACUUAGGGAGAAGGGGUGCCACCGAGAGGUGGUCGCAGUGAAGAGGCCCAGGCGACUGUUUAGCAAAAACAUAGGUCUCUGCAAACUCGAAAGAGGAGGUAUAGGGGCUGACGCCUGCCCAGUGCCGGAAGGUUAAAGAAGUUGGUCAGUCUUAGGAUGAAGCUAGCGACUGAAGCCCCGGUGAACGGCGGCCGUAACUAUAACGGUCCUAAGGUAGCGAAAUUCCUUGUCGGGUAAGUUCCGACCCGCACGAAAGGCGUAACGAUCUGGGCGCUGUCUCGGAGAGAGGCUCGGCGAAAUAGGAUUGUCUGUGAAGAUACGGACUACCUGCAUUUGGACAGAAAGACCCUAUGAAGCUUUACUAUAGCUUGGAAUUGUGUUCGGGCUUCCUGUGCGCAGGAUAGGUGGGAGGCGUAGAAGGUAUUCUUGUGGGGAUACUGGAGCCAACGGUGAGAUACCACUCUCAGGAGGCUAGAAUUCUAACUUAAUUAAGGACAGUUUCAGGUGGGUAGUUUGACUGGGGCGGUCGCCUCCAAAAAGGUAACGGAGGCGUACAAAGGUUCCCUCAGACUGGUUGGAAAUCAGUCGCAGAGUGCAAAGGCAGAAGGGAGCUUGACUGCGAGAAGUACAGUUCGAGCAGGGUGGAAACACGGUCUUAGUGAUCCGACGGUGCUGUGUGGAAGGGCCGUCGCUCAACGGAUAAAAGUUACUCUAGGAUAACAGGCUGAUCUCCCCCAAGAGUUCACAUCGACGGGGAGGUUUGGCACCUCGAUGUCGGCUCAUCGCAACCUGGGGCGGAAGUACGUCCCAAGGGUUGGGCUGUUCGCCCAUUAAAGCGGUACGUGAGCUGGGUUCAGAACGUCGUGAGACAGUUCGGUCCAUAUCCGAUGUAGGCGUGAGAAUAUUGAGAGGAGCCUUCCUUAGUACGAGAGGACCGGGAAGGACGCACCGCUGGUGUACCUGUUAUGAUGCCAAUUGUAAACGCAGGGUAGCCAAGUGCGGAGAGGAUAACCGCUGAAAGCAUCUAAGUGGGAAGCCCACCUCAAGAUGAGUAUUCUGGUGUAAGGUCACGGGAAGACGACCCGUAAAUAGGCACGAGGUGGAAGUGCAGAGAUGUAUGAAGCCGAAGUGUACUAAUAGACCGUCGGCUUGAUC